rnacentral:rRNA from 1 species
GAAAGCGUGGGUAGCGANCAGGAUUAGAUACCCUGGUAGUNCACGCCGUAAACGAUGAGUGCUAGGUGUUAGGCCCUUUCCGGGGCUUAGUGCCGGAGCUAACGCAAUAAGCACUCCGCCUGGGGAGUACGACCGCAAGGUUGAAACUCAAAGGAAUUGACGGGGGCCCGCACAAGCGGUGGAGCAUGUGGUUUAAUUCGAAGCAACGCGAAGAACCUUACCAGGUCUUGACAUCCCGAUGCUAUUCUUAGAGAUAGGAAGUUACUUCGGUACAUCGGAGACAGGUGGUGCAUGGUUGUCGUCAGCUCGUGUCGUGAGAUGUUGGGUUAAGUCCCGCAACGAGCGCAACCCUUAUUGUUAGUUGCCAUCAUUAAGUUGGGCACUCUAGCGAGACUGCCGGUAAUAAACCGGAGGAAGGUGGGGAUGUCGUCAAAUCAUCAUGCCCCUUAUGACCUGGGCUACACACGUGCUACAAUGGUCGGUACAACGAGUUGCGAGCCGGUGACGGCAAGCUAAUCUCUGAAAGCCGAUCUCAGUUCGGAUUGGAGGCUGCAACUCGCCUCCAUGAAGUCGGAAUCGCUAGUAAUCGCGGAUCAGCACGCCGCGGUGAAUACGUUCCCGGGCCUUGUACACACCGCCCGUCACACCAC